UCGAGGAUUUUUGGCAAUGAGCGCAAGCUUGACCAAGCGAUGCCGCGUGCGGGAUGAAGGCCUUCGGGUUGUAAACCGCUGUCAGUGUGGAGGAAAAUUUGGUGUAUAGCCAAGUUUGACUAAUACGCAGAGGAAGUGAGGGCUAAACUCGUGCCAGCAGCCGCGGUAAGACGAGUCUCACGAACGUUAUUCGGAAUUACUGGGCUUAAAGGGUGCGUAGGCGGUGGAGUAAGUCGGAUGUGAAAUACCAUAGCUUAACUAUGGAACUGCACUCGAUACUACUUUGCUUGAGUAAGACAGAGGUGAGUGGAACUGAGGGUGGAGCGGUGAAAUGCGUUGAUAUCCUCAGGAACACCGGUGGCGAAGGCGACUCACUGGGUCUUUACUGACGCUGAUGCACGAAAGCUAGGGUAGCAAACG
rnacentral:rRNA from 1 species